rnacentral:misc_RNA from 1 species
CUUGUGAAGCUUGUGGUCUUUUGUGGGAAGUAAAGACAUUGUAAAGUUUCUCAAGCACCUAGGAAGCUUGCUAAGAUUGUAAAGGCUUUGAAUCAUGCCUGUUGAAAAAGAUCAAAUAGUGGAGUGACUCUUAAAGUGGGACUUUGGGAAGAGUGAAUAUAGGCUAAGAGAGCCGAAUCACUAUAAACAUUGUGUUUGAUUCUCUUCUUCCCUUAACUCUUUAAUUUUCAGUAUUUUGUUUCUCUGAUUAUACAUUGAAUGUGUUUUAGAAUUUGUUUUAUUGAGUUAAUACUGAGCUUGAACAAUUAAAC